AGUGAACGCUGGCGGUAGGCCUAACACAUGCAAGUCGAACGGCAGCACAGUAAGAGCUUGCUCUUACGGGUGGCGAGUGGCGGACGGGUGAGGAAUACAUCGGAAUCUACUUUUUCGUGGGGGAUAGCGUAGGGAAACUUACGCUAAUACCGCAUACGACCUACGGGUGAAAGCAGGGGAUCUUCGGACCUUGCGCGAUUGAAUGAGCCGAUGUCGGAUUAGCUAGUUGGCGGGGUAAAGGCCCACCAAGGCGACGAUCCGUAGCUGGUCUGAGAGGAUGAUCAGCCACACUGGAACUGAGACACGGUCCAGACUCCUACGGGAGGCAGCAGUGGGGAAUAUUGGACAAUGGGCGCAAGCCUGAUCCAGCCAUACCGCGUGAGUGAAGAAGGCCUUCGGGUUGUAAAGCCCUGUUGUUGGGAAAGAAAAGCAGCAGGUUAAUACCCCGCUGUUCUGACGGUACCCAAAGAAUAAGCACCGGCUAACUUCGUG
rnacentral:rRNA from 1 species